CAGGUGGGUUGGACCUUGAAGAAGGGCCUCCAAAGUAUGGCCUCAGGAAAUCAAGAGGUCAGAUGGUACUGGAAGAAAAGCUUUCGAUAUAUGUCCCCAGGAAGCAGAAAUAGAUUAGUGGGUUGAGCCUUGAAGAAGGGCCUCAAAAGUCAGAUGGUACUGGAAGAAAGGCUUUCGAAAUACGUCCCCAGGAAGCACAAACAGACCGGGCCUUGAAGAAGCGCCUUUGAAGUAUUGCCUCAGGAAAUCAAUAGGUCCGAUUGUACUGGAAGAAAGGCUUUCGAAAUAUGUCUCCAGGAAGCACAAAGAGG